GUUGUCCGGAAUUAUUGGGCGUAAAGGGUACGCAGGCGGAUAUUCAAGUCAAGCGUGAAAGGUGUCGGCUUAACCGACAGACUGCGUUUGAAACUGAAUAUCUUGAGUGUAACAGAGGAGAGUGGAAUUCCUAGUGUAGUGGUGAAAUACGUAGAUAUUAGGAAGAACACCAGUGGCGAAGGCGACUCUCUGGGUUAACACUGACGCUGAGGUACGAAAGCUGGGGGAGCGAACGGGAUUAGAUACCCCGGUAGUCCCAGCCGUAAACGAUGGAUACUAGGUGUUGGAGGUUCGAAUCCUUCAGUGCCGGAGUUAACGCAUUAAGUAUCCCGCCUGGGGAUUACGAUCGCAAGAUUGAAACUCAAAGGAAUUGACGGGGGCCCGCACAAGCGGUGGAGCAUGUGGUUUAAUUCGAAGCAACGCGAAGAACCUUACCAGGUCUUGACAUCCUUUGACCGCCCUAGAGAUAGGGUUUCCCCUUCGGGGGCAAAGUGACAGGUGGUGCAUGGUUGUCGUCAGCUCGUGUCGUGAGAUGUUGGGUUAAGUCCCGUAACGAGCGCAACCCUUAUUGUUAGUUGCCAGCAUUGAGUUGGGCACUCUAGCAAGACUGCCGGUGACAAACCGGAGGAAGGCGGGGAUGACGUCAAAUCAUCAUGCCCCUUAUGACCUGGGCUACACACGUGCUACAAUGGGAAGUACAACGAGCAAGCCAAGCCGCAAGGCCUAGCGAAUCUCUGAAAGCUUCUCUCAGUUCGGAUUGCAGGCUGCAACUCGCCUGCAUGAAGCCGGAAUCGCUAGUAAUCGCGGAUCAGCAUGCCGCGGUGAAUCCGUUCCCGGGCCUUGUACACACCGCCCGUCACACCACGAGAGUUUGUAACACCCAAAGUCGGUGCGGCAACCCUUCGGGGAGCCAGCCGCCUAAGGUGGGACGAAUGAUUGGGGUGAA
rnacentral:rRNA from 1 species